AACGAACGCUGGCGGCAGGCUUAACACAUGCAAGUCGAGCGCCCCGCAAGGGGAGCGGCAGACGGGUGAGUAACACGUGGGAACGUACCCUUUACUACGGAAUAACGCAGGGAAACUUGUGCUAAUACCGUAUGUGCCCUUUGGGGGAAAGAUUUAUCGGUAAAGGAUCGGCCCGCGUUGGAUUAGCUAGUUGGUGGGGUAAAGGCCUACCAAGGCGACGAUCCAUAGCUGGUCGGAAAGGAUGAUCAGCCACAUUGGGACUGAGACACGGCCCAAACUCCUACGGGAGGCAGCAGUGGGGAAUAUUGGACAAUGGGCGCAAGCCUGAUCCAGCCAUGCCGCGUGAGUGAUGAAGGCCUUAGGGUUGUAAAGCUCUUUCACCGGAGAAGAUAAUGACGGUAUCCGGAGAAGAAGCCCCGGCUAACUACGUGCCAGCAGCCGCAGUAA
rnacentral:rRNA from 1 species